rnacentral:tRNA from 1 species
GGGCAUAUAGCUCAGUUGGUAGAGCCACCGGCUCAUAACCGGUAGGUCGUAGGUUCAAAUCCUACUGUGCCCACCA